UACAUGGGGUGCAAACGUUGCUCGGAAUUAUUGGGCGUAAAGGGCGCGUAGGCGGCUUGGCAAGUGGAAGGUGAAAUCCCUCGGCUUAACCGAGGAACUGCCCUCCAAACUGCUUGGCUUGAGACCGGGAGAGGUGAGUGGAAUUCCCAGUGUAGCGGUGUAAUGCGUAGAUAUUGGGAGGAACACCAGUGGCGAAGGCGGCUCACUGGACCGGUACUGACGCUGAGGCGCGAAAGCGUGGGGAGCAAACGGG
rnacentral:rRNA from 1 species